rnacentral:lncRNA from 1 species
AACAUCAUCCUCAGCAAACUGACACAAGAACAGAAAAUGAAACACCGCAUAUUCUCACUCAUAGCCAACUCAAUACAGCACCUUCUAGGAAAAAACUUGAUUCCGCCACUGGGAACUGUGGUCUCAAACCUUCAUGCCAUGUGAAGAGCUCAACCUCUUCGAACUGCCAACAGAUUCACCAGUGGACAUUCACCAAAUGGACUCCCUUUGGAUCUUUCUAUCUAGAUCUAACUAAAGGACCAAUUCACUGAAAGAAUAACAAUCUAUUUUACACAUGGUGACUAUAGUUAAUAAUACAUUGUAUACUUGAAAAUUGCUAAAAGAGUAAAUCUUACAGGUUCCCAAUACAAAAAAUGAUAGGCAUGUGAGAUGAUAAAUACAUUAAUUAGCUUGACUUAACUGCUUCAAAAUAUAUACAUAUCAAAACAUCACUUUCUAGUCUAUAAAUAUGUACUAUUUUCAUUUGUAAAUUGUGCUGAAUAAAACAAAAAAUGUAAAUUUUAAUAGGUUUAUCAACAAAUAAACAUUAUAAAAUUUGUAAAAAUAAUAUACCUUUUGUUUUAAGGGGGAAAUCAAGAUUUUAAACUAUAAAAUACUUUCCAAAAUGUAUACCUAGUAGAUGACACUGAUGCUUAACAAUUAUCAAACUUAAUAUAUUUACUGGUUCAGAGGAAAAUUAGAAAAAUAAAGUCCCUGAGAAAGAUCAAUUGUUUCCUAGUCACAAUAUCACAUCUAGAGCAGAUCAAAACCCAAAUCAAAAAUGAAGUCCCUGUUAUCCCUGUAAAAGUCAAGUUACAGUACCACUUCUAUAAUUCUGCCUUUACUACUCAUCUUAAGCACUAUAGGAAUUGUUCUGAGAAAAACUGGCCUUAAUUAGAUUACUAUUACUCAACGUUGAAGUCUCUGGUCAGCACCAAUUGCACAAAUUUAAUUAUAAGACAGAGAGUAGUUCUAAUUCAGACCCCUGGAACUCUCUGUCCCUGGAAUCUUGGAAGACAUCUUCUUCCCUGAGUAUAGCUUUAGGUGUGAGUAGCUCUCUUUGAUUCCCCUUUCAGGCAGACUGUUCCAGGAUCACAGAUAAAUUAAGUCUUACGUUGAAUGUAACAAAGAUGUCCAAAAGGAAAUUGCCUAUGGCAUAGAAAAUAUUCAGAAAU